rnacentral:lncRNA from 1 species
UUUUUUUUUUUUUUUGUCUUUUUUCUUCUUUUUACUGUAGCUGUCUUCAGAUACACCAGAAGAGGGCAUUGGCUCCCAUUACAGAUGGUUGUGAGCCACCAUGUGGUUAUUGAGAAUUGAACUCAGGACAUCUGGAAGUACAGUCAGUGAUCUUAACCUCUGAGCUAUCUCUCCAGCCUCUCCUUAGUAUAUUUUUAAAAGGAGGAAGAUUUGAAACGUUAACAAAAAAAAAAAAAAAAAAAAAAAAAGGAAGAAAGAAAGAAAGAAACAAACAAACAAAGAAAAGAAAGAUCAGUAUGGUUUACGGUCUGGACUCACUGCCAAUCAACCAGGUGCUGAUUCUCAGUGGUAACAGGACUAAGAGGCAACAAUUUAUUUUAAAACUCAAGGAUUAAAGUAAAUAAACCUGAUUACUCUUUCUUUAGAUGGUGAGACUUUUUUUUUUUAAUCUUGCAAAAUGACUGUUCUGGUGUUGGUUGCCUGGGUGUAAGAGAGACCUCAUACUCUGUGUCUUAAGAGCUGGAAGGAAGUCCAAAACAUGACACAGAAUGACUCUGCAAUGGUCUGGAGAGAUGGCUCAGUGAUUUAGAGACUGUACUGUUCUUGAAUAGGGCUUGAAUUCAGUUCCUAGCACCCAUGUAGGACAGCAUAUAACUGUCUAUAGUUGCAACUCAGCAGUUCUAACAACCUUGUUCAGGACACCCUGGGCAGCAGCUUCACACAUGCACAUAUCCACACAGGGGCACACACAUACACGUAAUUGAAAAUAAAAUGACUACACCACAGCCACAACAUCUUGCUGUUGUCCGGGUAUUACUGUUUAAUCACUACAAAUACUGUCCUGGGCUAACUGGCCCUCAUCCCUAGAGGUAUGUGUUCUAAAGACUCCAGGGGUGCCUGAAACCUCAGGAUGUGCAGAGGUUGAUCUACGCUGCACUUUCCACUAAAGUUUUAUCAUAUAGAUGGUCUAAAGCUUCCUCUGUAAAUCUGGCAUAGCAAUAAAUCAGCAGCAAAAAUUCCCCAUAAGAUACAAUAGUUUAAAUAGUGAACUGAAAUAGAAAUGACUUAAAAUAUGAUGUCUUUGUGUGUGUCUGGUAUCUGUGGGUAACAUAUGCACAUCUGUAUGCGAAGGCCAGAGGUUGACGUGAGCUGUCUUUUUUUCCCUUUUCUCCACUUUAUUUUGCAGAGACAAGAUCUCUCACUGAACCUGGAUCUCACCAGCUAGGCAAGCCUAGUGGGCCAGGAAGCUCCAGGGAUCCUUCUGUCUCUGCCUCCCUACUGCUAGGGACACAGUACUGUAAUCUAGGUGCUCCCAUGCCCAGCUUUUCCUGUGGAUUAUGGGUCCACCCUGAGGUCCUUAUGUUUGUGCAGCAAGCAUGGGUUUGGUUUUAACUAGCCUAAAAACUCAUGACUUUUUGUUUCUGGAAUUUUCUGUUUAGCAUGUUAAGACUUCAACUUAUCAUAAAACUUUGGAUAAGAGAUGGCAGUAUUUUUAACCACCAGAUGAUCAGAUCUGUCCUUCCUCUCACAUCUUUGUCCUUCUUCUAUCGGGUAGCAAUUACCUUGCAGGAUGCAGUAUUACGGUUCUACAUUUUCAACAUUCUUGCUCUAUUUAAGCCCCUCUCUGGCGUUUAAUUCCACUUGUAAGGUUUACAUUGGUCUGGUAUGUUUGUAGGUGGCAUUAGACGCUGUGAGCAGGAUGGAGAUCAAGACCUAGGUCUGGGCAUUAGGAGACCCUGUGUUUCAAUGUAUAUUUUAUACCCAUUAGUUGUGGCAAGUGGGAUACUUUAAGGCAUUUCCCUAAGCUUGAACAUCAAUGUCACUACAAAGGUUUCAUGAGCAUGAGAAUAUGAAUCCAGCUGUCUGGCCUCUUGGAAGUAGUCAGUACAACCUGGUGGCUGCUGCUUUUGGUACAACCCUUGCUCUUAUAACUGGGAAUGAUUCUGCUUCCAAGCAAGUGUGUCGUCAUCUAAUAUUAAGCUUUGAGAUCUUGAUGGGAUCUUUAGGGCCCUGCUCUUUAAUGGGAGGGCCAUCUAGAGUAUUUAUUGCAUAAAGUCAGAUUAUCAGAAAUAACCACAUGAAGAAAGCACACACAGGAACAGGGUAAACAUAGAGGUAUCCAGUAUCCUGGACCGAAUUGUGUGCUUAUCCUUGCUGCUACUUUCUGAAUUUUUAAAAAGUUGACAUGGAUUUUAGCUAAUUCUCUUCAAAGAAUACACUAAACACAUAGCUUUUUUCCCCCUUCUUUUUUUUUUUUUUUUUUUUCUGUCUGCUUGUAAGGCCAAAGACAAAUGGAAACAAAAAAAGGGGCCACCCAUUCUAUUACCUUAAGGCUAUACUUUCAUUAUUUUCAAAUAAUGCUUCAGGCUUACCUCCUCCAGAAAACUUAGCCCGUUCCAGUGGCUUUGGAGGAACAGGGAUCUGCUAGCAUCCUUCAGCCUUCAGCCUUGAACUGAUUUUGUGCCUGGUGAUUAAAAAAAAAAAAAAAAAAAAAAAAAAAAAAAAAGGGCAGCUGCUGCCUGUCAAUCACCUGACUUCUCAGGCCUGCUUUCUUUGAAUCCUUUAUAGCACCCAAAUAUAGCUUAAGUUGGCCUGACAACAGAACUCCUGUAAAAGUGUGUUCACCUCUAUGAGACUGCACAUACCUCAGGCUAGAAAACUGUCUUUCUCUAAUACCCAGUGGAGCCAUCUGUGUGUUCUUUGUGCUCAAAUAGUUGUGAAAUUAAUGGCUGCCAUAGAUUUGCCCGUUCUGUGUGUAUAUCCUAAUCAUUCAUGUUACACAUGUCACUUGGACUUUUGCUAAACUAUUAAUAGUGAAUAUAAAUUAGUGAUGAGGUUGAAUCUCUCCCAGCAGUCUGAGAAAAUGACUUAAAGAGACAGGAGCCGAUCCUUAGUCACAGACUCAGUUAAGUGAGACAAUAUUCCAUUUUCAUACCUUUUCUAGAGAUCAGAAGCUACUCAUUCUACACUUUUAGUUAGACAAGACUAAGUCUUGCUGCAUGGAAGUGUAAAGGAGAAGGAAAAGUAACAAAAACAGAGAUUGUUCUAAAAGCAAUAAUAAUCAUUAUUGUUUUGUGGGGGGCGUUUCAUAAAUUCAUAAAUGUGUGUGUUUUUCUGAGUGAGAAAUUCUCUGUUGAAAAGCUUAUUAAAUGAAAAAAAACAUUCUGGAAACAGUUGAAUCUGAUACUUUCUAUUUUAGCUCGUCUUUAUAUUAUUUUUCUUAAUAAAAAGAAAUCCUUUGGUUGUCUAAGAGAAAUGUUAGAAAAAUGUUGCUUUGAUGGUUUUUGAGGCCCUUUCUUCCUGGGAGCUAAGAGCAUUCAUAGCAGAGGUGUGGCAGCGGGAGGGGUGGGGUGCCACUGAAUGUCUCUGGUCUCCCUGGGGCUUUUCCCUUGCUAUUGCCAGUGGCUACAAAUGGCCACCCACCCCAGGGAAGUGAAUGGAACAGCAUGGGAGCCUGAGCCUCUUUGUACUCACUGCCAAUUGCUAGGUGUGAUUGAAUAUUUUGAAAGAAGCCAAUAAGUAAAAAUGGGCAUUUAGCUAGUGCCUUUUAGAAAUGAUCCUUUUCCCUCUCUUUUCUCCUCCUUUUCAAAUAUAUUUGAUACCAUGGCUUUGGACUCUGCCUACCUCUCUUAUUAUCUAAGCUAUUCAUCCAUCCUAUAAUAGACACAUGGUAAGUACCAGGUGGAUGACAUUGGGCUUAGCAUGUUUUUCCUCCUCUAACUGCUAUAGAUUCCAGUGUUUUGUCCUUGUUCUGUUACCAGGAGGCCCUGCUUCAUCUGACUUUCCAGGCCAUAGUCAUUAAAGUUCACAGCACAGAGGCCCCUCGGUUUCGGGGUCCAGUUACAAGCCUGAAGAAUGCCAGUAUUGUUUUGCGAGAAUGACUGCUGGCACCUUGAACAUUACCGUGUUCUCAGAGUAAAAGAUACGUGUAGAUUUGCAACGUUUUAAUUUUAAGGGCUCUUUUUACACCUGCUUAUUGGAGGAACAUUCCACAGAGCUCUGCAUGUCCUGUUGUUUCAGCAGAAAACACAGUAGUAGCUGGAGUGGUGUGUGGUGAUCAUUAAUCUUUACUAGAGUCAGUGGGCUCUUAAUUAAGGAGGUAUGAAGCUGUGUGUGUGUGUGUGUGUGUGUGUGUGUGUGUUUCGUUUUUUUUUUUCUUUCUUUCUUUGUUUAUUCCUCAAACAGGCACACAUCUAGAGGAGCCUCAUAGAAAACUAUUGAUGAUUUACAGCCCAUUCAAAUGAGGAAGAGCAAACAGUUUUGUACCAGUGUGACUUCUCUUGACCUGUUCUCCACCGCAGAAGGAUUUGGGGCUGGAGGUUGGUGGUCCUGCCUUUAGAGAACCUGAAAUGUACUUUGUCAGGAAACCCAACACUGGAGACCCAGAAAUCAUGAAAUUAAAAUGUUUUCAUGAAAGUGAAUAAUACAGACUCCUUCCAACAACUAAAGAAGAUGGAUGAGUGUGAGAAGUCAGGACUGCAUUACCCCAACAUGGGAGAGUUGGGAGCUAUUCAUUGAGCUUAAGAACUAGAGGAGACCAUGGAAAGCAUGCCAAGACCUUUUUAUGAUGCCAGUUUGGAAGGCUGAACCAUCAUACUAUUCUUCAAGGGAAUAAUAACUCCAGCUUAAUAUCUGUAUAUCUCUGUAGGCAGGUUCAUGAAAUUCAGUUCCCAUUAGAGCAUUCAGGGAAGUCCUCUGGGUCUCCUCACAUAUUCACACUGCAAGGCAGUUACAGGAAUCAGGCCCAUGCAUCCACAGGUCAUCAUUUCAGCCACGCCAACUAAAUGCAGCAUGCAGCACAGCGACAUCAGAGAUGUACCUAGAAAAGUAGUUCCCAGGAGAGGUAUUGCGGGAUCCUCCAGUAGAACUACGUCCAAUACCUCUCCUGGGCAUAUAUCCAGAAGAUGUUCCAACUGGUAAGAAAGACACAUGCUCCACUAUGUU